GUGUGCUUGUGUGUGUCUGUGUAAAGACAUUAGAAACAUACCAGCACUGAGUCCUGUGAUUGAACAGGAGGAACGUAUCACCCAAGGCCUCUAUUCCAAACCUACUAGGAUACAGAAUGAAGUAGGCCAGGAACCUUAUGAAAGGCCCUAUUAAAAAAAAAAAAUAGGGAUGAAAUCACAGACUGAGGAAUAUACAAGGAGAGCUUGACAAAAGAAUCAGGAGAAAUGUCAGAGUCAGCAUGUACUUUGCUGCAACAACAUCACAUAGGGUUCAUUUUAACCAAUGCCACUUCCCUGCAGGCUUUUGUGCUCUGAGAUGGAGAACAGGAUCGGGGCAUUCCAAUUAUCUAGAUAUGCUUUGACUUACUUUCCUACUUACACCAGCCAUUGAUGAAUCUAAAUCCAAAUGAAGAAGAUUCAAAUUCUAGAAUCAUUUAGCAGGACAUUUUACCUAGAAAUAGAAGGAAAAAUAUCAUCCCUACGACUUUGUAUGACUUUGUAAGUACAGAAAAAAAAACUGAGUAAGUAAAUUAUUUUAUGACAUUUUUGAGUAUUUAGUAGAAGGUGGAUUUCUCAAUAAGAUGAGAAAGAAUAGGAAGUGCUUAGCUAAAUGUCUGACACAUGGUAAGCAUUGAGUAAUGGUCAGCAAUUAAUAAAAAUUGUGGUUACCAGGGACUGGAAAGGGAGGGGAAAGAAGUUGCUGUUUAACGGGUAUAGAGAUACAGAUUUGCAAGAUGAAAGUGUUUUGGACAUCUAUUUACAACAGCAUGAAUGUACUUGUAUUAUACUGAACUGUACACUAAAAAAUGGUUAAGAUGGUAGAUUUUGUGUUUUGUUUUUACCACAAUAAAAAAGAAAAAGAAAAAAACGCUAAUAUUCUCAAGCACCAAGUUUAUUGACUAGUAUCCCACUACUUAUAACUGUGGUUGUAAGUAGUAACCACAAUUAUCCAGAAUCUUGACAGAUUUCCUGGCAGUUUUCAAACUUCAAUGCUUUUCAGCUCUAAAAUGUAUACUGUAGUUGCAUUAUUUUUAAAAUUAAUACAAAUAUUUGUACAUAUUUAUGGGGUACAUGUGAUAUUUUGUUACGUGCAUCGAGUGUGUAAUGAUCAAAUCAGGGUAUCUGAGGUGUCCGUCGCCUUGAGUAUUUGUCAUUUUUAUAUAUUCAGAACAUUUCAAGUCCUCUCUUCUAACUAUUCUGAAAUACACAAUACAUAAAAAAAAUUCUGCCGUAAACUUUGAAGUGCCAACAUCAAAGUAGGAGUAUGGAUUUUUGGCAAAAAUCACCCUACUCUGCUACAAAACAUUAGAACUUAUUCCUUCUAUCUCACUGUAUGUUUGUAUUCAUUAACCAACCACUAUCUACUCCCCACCUGCACACUCUUCCCUGCCUCUGAUGUCUGUCAUUCUAUUCUAGUGAACUUUUUUAGCUCCCACAUAUGAGUGAGAACAUGUGAUAUUUGUCUUUCGGUGCCUGGCUUAUUUCACUUAACAUAAUAUAGGAUUAUUCGUUUUGAGAGCAAAAAUCUGCUGAUUGUAUUCAAAGAUACCAAAGGUUGUAUCUCCCACAAAUCACAUUGUGGAAUUUUUACUGUAUCGAAAGAUUGUUGAAAUUGAUCUUGAAG
rnacentral:lncRNA from 10 species